rnacentral:rRNA from 1 species
UACGAAGGGGGGCUAGCGUUGCUCGGAAUCACUGGGCGUAAAGGGUGCGUAGGCGGGUUUUUAAGUCAGAGGUGAAAUCCUGGAGCUCAACUCCAGAACUGCCUUUGAUACUGAGAAUCUUGAGUAUGGGAGAGGUGAGUGGAACUCCGAGUGUAGAGGUGAAAUUCGUAGAUAUUCGGAAGAACACCAGUGGCGAAGGCGGCUCACUGGUCCGGUACUGACGCUGAGGUGCGAAAGCGUGGGGAGCAAACAGG